AUUAACCGUUGCAAUAGAUAAUUAUUAAUUCACUCCGUAAUUUUUCACACGUGGUCCGCCAAUUUUUUUUCACUUUAUUAAAAAAGGUUUUAUCUUUCUCAAUAGAACAAAAGGUUAAGCUAAAAGCCCUAUUUCUCUUGCUGUUUCAAACAAACAAGCUCUUCGCAGCUCGUAAUAAAGUUCCAUUUCUCUUGGGAUUUCAGACAAACAAGCUCCGAAUGCGAUUGUGAAAUUUUCUCAAACAACAAGCUUUCAAAUCUCAUAGACUAGUGAAAUUUCGAGCUCUUAGUGAAAUUAAGCUUAUGGUAAACAACAAUCUUCCCAGAACAGUAAUCUGUUUGUGAAAUUUUAACUUCUUAGUGAAAUUUCAACCUCUUAGUGAAAUUUCCAUCCAUUUAGAUGUCUCGUGGGGUUAGUUCAGAUGCCGUUUUAUGCUAUUUUUGUAGCUUUAUGGAGAAAAUGAGUAAACUGUGAGUACUGCAGUGAACGAGAUUCUCGUGUAACUCUAUGUGACCACUUGAAUUCAGAAAAUUUCUGGAAUUGGAGAAUUCAAGACCUCAUGAAUUCUGGAGUAAUUCCCGUGCACGCUCACACAAGCUUGGAGAGGAUGCGGAUCUCACUCUUGAUGAUUGUUGCCUUUUCCUUUGGUGCUUCUGUUGGUCUAUUUAUUGAAUAUCUCUUUGAAAUCGAUCAAGUGCAACACACGGAAGUUUCUAAACAUUGUUUUAUAUGGUUGCUUUUACUGCUUUCUUGUCAUAUUAUAUGACAGGGCAAUAUUCAGCAAAUCAAUCGCCCAUUUAUUGAUAGUAACAAUCAAGGUCUGUCUUCUUUUCUUCUUCUUCUCGUCCUUUUUGUCUUCUUCUUUUUUUAUUGGCAGCAGUAGAUAUAAAAACUUGUUGUUGUUUGGGUAAGUGGUAGCCAGUAAGGAAAGUGUUUUUCUUGACAUGUUUAUUCCAAGAGGGCUGCAUCCCCUAUGAUAUCCAGUAAACACUUAACUGCAAUGUGUGAACCUCUUGUAACAACGUGGUAGGAGGUAAAUGUGAGAUGGCAUCCAGAGGAAGCUUCUAGGCCUGAUAUUGGGGACGCUCCGGUGUUCUAUCAAGCUAAAGAGGAAUUUGGAGAUACGCUGACAUAAAUGGAUAGCAUACACACCAAAUCAGAGGCUUAUGGAAUUUGUCGCAUAGUACCUCCUGCUUCGUGGAAACCUCCAUUCCCUCUUAAGGAAAAAACUAUAUGAGAGAACUCCAAAUUUGCUACCCGUGUUCAGAGGAUUGACAAACUUCAGAAUCGAGAUUCGAUGAGAAGGAUGUGGGAAGCUAAUGCUCCUAAGAAAAAGCAAAGAAGAAGAUGCUUAAAAACUGGAGUAGACCCGGGUAAUUGAUAAUGUUGCCAGUAAACACCUGGUGAAGCUGAGAGGUUUGGAUUUGGACCUGGUCCAGAGUUCACUCUGGAUACAUUUCAGAAAUAUGCUGAUGAUUUCGUACUUACUGCUAUAUAGAAACUUAACAAAUCGUUUGGACUUGAUUAACAUUUUACUUUCGGAUUUAAAUUACUAGCUUGUUGCAUAUUUUGGAUUAUGAGAUUAUUAAUGAAUGAUUUUGUUUUGUGAUGUGUA